GCCCCUGGGGGCUCAGGCGUUUGACCCUAGAGCCACGGGUAAUAAACCAAAUGCAAGUAAAAUUGAAAAAUGGCAUAUUGGGGAUUUGGAAAAAUCCUCCUCCUCCAGCUGAGGGUCCUACACAAACAGAAUAGACAUAAUCAGCCAGAUCGAAACAGCAGCUUUACUAAAGGUAAGGCUGGCCUGGACAGCAUACUUUGGAUGCAGAGGGAAAUGAGUUUUCCUAUUCUUCUCUACAUCUGCAUGUUUCAGGCUCAAGAAGGAUGGAAGUCAGGGAGAGAGAGGAAGAAAGAGAGAGAGAGAGAGAGAGAGAAAGAGAGAGAGAGAUGGAUCACUCAACCCAUUAACCCAUUAAAAGCAUCCAUGGCCAUUAAAUGUUGACCAUUCCCUCCUGCACUGGGAAGAGCUCUUGACAAGGGCAUCACAACAGUUCCAAAAGGGUAUCUCAAUACUACCAACCCUGAGGCCUCUUGCUUCUAUGGGAAAGAGGCUACCACGGACCUGCUUAGAAUUCUUUUACCAACACGCCACUCCUCCAGACUCAGCCCUUUGAAGAGAAGGAAGAUAUUGUUAUUUCUGUUCCUGGAACUUAGCUCACUGUCUAGCACAUAGUAUGUGUUCAAUAAAAAUGUGCUGAUGCCAAGUAAAGGAGCUGGAGUUCUCCUAGCAACUGACAGGUGAAAGAUCAUUCUGGUAAUCCAUUCAGAACCAACACAGAGAGCUACACUAACCAUCAUAGCGAGUAAUCGACAACUAAUUAUAGGCACUCGAGACAUUCAAGCAACUUUCAGGAAUGGUAUUUGGGAACAUAUUCGGGUGUCCUGUGAACUACCCUCUCAUGCAGGAUCCAGGGGCUGAAAACUAAGGAGCCCAACGUUUCCACUUUACUAAUGUCUGAUGUUCAUCCCCUUUCUGGGAUCUUCCCAGCGUUUGAAGGAGAGGCAGUAUGCUGGGAAGCAAACAGACCCUACUGGGAGCAGACCUGGAUGUCGGUCUCUGUCGCACCACCACCAAGCUGUGGACUUUGGGCAAGUCUUGGGCAAUCAUUCGCUUACAUCUCUGUCUCCCAAUGUGUGAUCAGCUCCCUGAUGGAACUACAUUACCAGUCCAAAAAGCUUGCACAAGAAUGCUUGAUACAGUUUUAUGCAAAAUAGUCAAAACAUUGGAAACUAUUCUGCUGUCCCUCGACCACAAAAACAACAAGCUAACUGUGAUACAUGCAUGUCAUGGGAGACUACUCGGCAAUAAAAAGGAAUGAACUAGGAUCCCUGGGUGGCGCAGCGGUUUGGCCCUUGCCUUUGGCCCAGGGCGCGAUCCUGGAGACCCGGGAUCGAGUCCCACAUCCGGCUCUC